AAGAACAGUCUUACAAAAGUUACGAUGGAAAUGGCGGAGGAUUGCCCAACCAACAACGUAAAUGCAGAAUGCACCCACAUGACUUGUGCAGACGGUUUUCACAGGGAAUGCGUUAACCAAAUUUGCACGUGCUCAACCAACACAGAAUGCAUGUUACAGACCGACUGCCGUAACACCGCGGAUCGAACCUGCAACAAGAGGUGGCACUGCGUAGACAACAGAUGUCGCUGCUACUGAAGAACCGCAGGAUGCUCGUUCAUACAAUAAUGUGAUCUGCGUUAAUUGAUGAUGACUUAAAUAAAGUAUCGGGGCUAUAAGGUUUGAAAA